AACGAACGCUGGCGGCAGGCCUAACACAUGCAAGUCGAGCGCGCCCUUCGGGGUGAGCGGCGGACGGGUGAGUAACGCGUGGGAACGUGCCCUUCUGUGCGGAAUAGCCUCUGGAAACGGAGAGUAAUACCGCAUACGCCCUUCGGGGAAAGAUUUAUCGCAGAAGGAUCGGCCCGCGUUGGAUUAGGUAGUUGGUGGGGUAAUGGCCUACCAAGCCGACGAUCCAUAGCUGGUUUGAGAGGAUGAUCAGCCACACUGGGACUGAGACACGGCCCAGACUCCUACGGGAGGCAGCAGUGGAGAAUCUUAGACAAUGGGGAAACCCUGAUCUAGCCAUGCCGCGUGAGUGACGAAGGCCCUAGGGUCGUAAAGCUCUUUCACCCGUGAAGAUAAUGACGGUAGCGGGAGAAGAAACCCCGGCUAACUCCGUGCC
rnacentral:rRNA from 1 species